UAACAGCUGGACGGCACCAAUCUUC
rnacentral:misc_RNA from 1 species